GAGUUUGAUCCUGGCUCAGGAUGAACGCUGGCGGCGUGCCUAAUACAUGCAAGUCGAGCGAACAGAUAAGGAGCUUGCUCCUUUGAAGUUAGCGGCGGACGGGUGAGUAACACGUGGGUAACCUACCUAUAAGACUGGGAUAACUUCGGGAAACCGGAGCUAAUACCGGAUAAUAUUUAGAACCGCAUGGUUCUAAAGUGAAAGAUGGUUUUGCUAUCACUUAUAGAUGGACCCGCGCCGUAUUAGCUAGUUGGUAAGGUAACGGCUUACCAAGGCGACGAUACGUAGCCGACCUGAGAGGGUGAUCGGCCACACUGGAACUGAGACACGGUCCAGACUCCUACGGGAGGCAGCAGUAGGGAAUCUUCCGCAAUGGGCGAAAGCCUGACGGAGCAACGCCGCGUGAGUGAUGAAGGGUUUCGGCUCGUAAAACUCUGUUAUUAGGGAAGAACAAAUGUGUAAGUAACUGUGCACAUCUUGACGGUACCUAAUCAG
rnacentral:rRNA from 1 species